rnacentral:tRNA from 1 species
UACCAUAUGUCUAGUGGUUAGGAUUUGGCGCUUUCACCGCCAUAGCCCGGGUUCAAUUCCCGGUAUGGGAA